GAUGUCUACUUCAUAAAGUGUAUGAAAAUAAUGGAAAUAUAUGGUUCAGAUCACUCAAACCAUAUAUUGAAAUGGAGGCGCCUUUAUAUGGUCACCAAUGGAGCUUGGUUGUCAUCUAGUGAAAAAGUGUGGUACUGCGCCCAAACAAAAUCUUACUGAAAGCUCAUUUUUUGAGAUAUCAACCUGAAAUCUGGUACACAACUUGUUCAGAUUUUUGGCUUUGAUUUCCUUGCAGCUUUAGAGUAAAACUUGUUUUGUAAAAUAUAUAUUUUAUAUAAAAUAUUAUAUUUUUACAUUUUACAUUUUCAUAAACUUAAACUUCUAUAACUUUUUUUCUGUUUCACUUACAUAAGUUAUUUCACAUCUACAAUAAUCGGCUUUAAAACAAGACCAGCCUUAUGUCUAUACUCCAAAGUAUUCUUGAAUUACAACCAUUUAAGUUUGGAUAGUGCAUUUUCUCGUCUAAAAAAAAAGUGGGGGUGACUUUAAAGGGUUAAAGUCUAUGUUGGAAUUGGUUCUUUACUUUCUGGUUUAUAAAAUAGUCAAAUCUAGACAGGGUGAAGUAAAAGGUUCUUUUCUUCCUCUCUUAAAGACACACAUACACACACACCAGUCGGAGGAAGCGGUGUAUCCAUGGAGCUCAGAUGCUUCUGUGCAGCUGAAUCCUAAUCUGAGGAGCCAAAAUCAUCAACUGCAUCAGAGAACCUGUUCCCGUCUGAACCGGAAAAGAGCUCUGGACAGUGCUGGAGUGGAUCAGUCUCCUCCACCGAAAAAGCUGUGCGUGGAUUGGGAUGAAUUAUGCCACAUGUUCACUGAAUUUUGUGUCAUUU